UACAGAGGUCUCGAGCGUUGUUCGGAUUCAUUGGGCGUAAAGGGCGCGUAGGUGGCCCGGUCAGUUCGUGGUGAAAGCGCGGGGCUCAACCCUGCGUCGGCCAUGAAUACUGCCGCGGCUGGAGCACUGUAGAGGCAGGCGGAAUUCCGGGUGUAGCGGUGGAAUGCGUAGAGAUCCGGAAGAACACCGGUGGCGAAGGCGGCCUGCUGGGCAGUUGCUGACACUGAGGCGCGACGA
rnacentral:rRNA from 1 species